rnacentral:rRNA from 1 species
GACGAACGCUGGCGGCGUGCUUAACACAUGCAAGUCGAACGGAAAGGCCCGGCUGUUGUGGGGUGCUCGAUUGGCGAACGGGUGAGUAACACGUGAGUAACCUGCCCUUGACUUUGGGAUAACUUCUGGAAACUGGGGCUAAUACCGGAUAGGAGCUCCUGCUGCAUGGUGGGGGUUGGAAAGUUUCGGCGGUUGGGGAUGGACUCGCGGCUUAUCAGCUUGUGGGUGGGGUAGUGUCUUACCAAGGCUUUGACGGGUAGCCGGCCUGGGAGGGUGACCGGCCACAUUGCGACUGAGAUACGGCACAGACUCCUACGGGAGGCAGCAGUGGGGAAUAUUGCACAAUGGGCGGAAGCCUGAUGCAGCACCGCCGCGUGCGGGAUGACGGCCUUCGGGUUGUAAACCGCUUUCGCCUGUGACGAAGCGUGAGUGACGGUAACGGGUAAAGAAGCACCGGCUAACUACGUG